GUGUUGAUACUCAGACCUAGAGAUAGAAGGCGUCGAUACUCAGACCUAGAGAUAAAGGUGUUGAUACUCAGACCUAGAGAUAGAAAGUGUUGAUACUCAGACCUAGAGAUAGAAAGUGUUGAUACCCAGACCUAGAGAUAGAAGGUGUUGAUACCCAGACCUAGAGAUGGAAAGUGUUGAUACUCAGACCUAGAGAUGGAAAGUGUUGAUACUCAGACCUAGAGAUAGAAGGCGUCGAUACUCAGACCUAGAGAUAAAGGUGUUGAUACUCAGACCUAGAGAUAGAAAGUGUUGAUACCCAGACCUAGAGAUAGAAGGUGUUGAUACCCAGACCUAGAGAUAGAAGGCGUCGAUACUCAGACCUAGAGAUAAAGGUGUUGAUACCCAGACCUAGAGAUAGAAGGUGUUGAUACCCAGACCUAGAGAUAGAAGGCGUUGAUACCCAGACCUAGAGAUAAAAAGUGUUGAUACCCAGACCUAGAGAUAGGAGGUGUUGAUACUCAGACCUAGAGAUAGAAGGCGUUGAUACCCAGACCUAGAGAUGGAAGGCGUCGAUACCCAGACCUAGAGAUAAAGGUGUUGAUACCCAGACCUAGAGAUAAAGGCGUUGAUACCCAGACCUAGAGAUAAAAAGUGUUGAUACCCAGACCUAGAGAUAGAAGGCGUCGAUACCCAGACCUAGAGAUAAAAAGUGUUGAUACCCAGACCUAGAGAUAAAAAGUGUUGAUACCCAG